GACGAACGCUGGCGGCGCGCUUAACACAUGCAAGUCGAGCGAAGCGGCGGACGGGUGAGUAACACGUGAGUAACCUGCCUUAGACAUUGGGAUAGCCUCGGGAAACCGGGAGUAAUACCAAAUGGUCUAAGAUGGACUCGCGUCCCAUUAGCUAGUUGGUGGGGACAGGCCCACCAAGGCGACGAUGGGUAGCCGGCCUGAGAGGGUGAACGGCCACAUUGGAACUGAGAAACGGUCCAAACUCUACGGGAUGCAGCAGUGGGGAAUAUUGCACAAUGGAGGGAACUCUGAUGCAGCGACGCCGCGUGAACGAAGAAGGCUUUCGAGUCGUAAAGUUCUUUUAUAUGGGAAGCGGUACCUGUAGAAUAAGCCACGGCUAACUACGUGCCAGCAGCCGCGGUAAUUC
rnacentral:rRNA from 1 species